rnacentral:lncRNA from 1 species
AGCAGUGACAACCCGCUCCGGUCCCCUUCCGCAGUGUGGAAGCUUUGUUCUUUUGCUCUUUGCAGUAAAUCUUGCCACUGCUCACUCUUUGGGUCCACACUGCCUUUAUGAGCUGUAACACCGCGAAGGUCUGCAGCUUCACUCCUGAAGCCAGCGAGACCACGAGCCCACCGGGAGGAAGGAACAACUCCAGACGCGCCACCUUAAGAGCUAUAACACUCACCGCGAAGGUCUGCAGCUUCACUCCUGAGCCAGCGAGACCACGAACCCACCAGAAGGAAGAAACUCCGAACACAUCUGAACAUCAGAAGGAACAAACUCCGGACACGCCGCCUUUAAGAACUGUAACACUCACCGCGAGGGUCAGCGGCUUCUAUUCUUUAAGUCAGUAAGACCAAGAACCCACCAAGUCCGGACACAAUAUUUUCUAUUAUCUAUGUUUGAUUCUUGUCAUAAACAUCUGAACUGUUAAGGUAAUUCACUAAUGGAUCACAAUCUGCACUUCGAAAAUUACUGGACACUUCUUAUUCACACGUAAUACAUUCUGCCUUAACACAGUGCACUCUAAGAGAAUUAAUGAAAUGCAGAAAAGACUAUAGGUUUGUAAAAUUCACUCAGCAAAGUCAUUCAUUGUGUUGCUUAGGUACAUAAUAUUUCAAAAACUAAGCUUCACUGAGCAUCUGUAUUGACCACUUUGAAGUGAUAGUUUUAUAGCUGGAUCUUCCUACAUCAUGUACUAUCUGAACACAUCACACUAGUUUUGAUCGUUUGGUCUCAUUAACUCCAAUUAUCCAAAUUGGUAUGUAGGGAAAUAUACAAUACGGUGUUGACAGUUCAUAAGUAUUUGACUAUUAAUGUGUUGUCUAUAAAAUACUCAACCUACUCAGGAAACACAAUUCUUCAAAGAAAUAAUAAAAGAAUGAUCCAGCAUGAUCUAGAUUGUGUUACAUUCAAAUAAAGAAAAAUAAUGCAAAACAAUGCAACCUAACCUACCAUUAAAUUUCUAAGUAAUGACCAAAAUCCUUAGCUUUAUACAUGCAUUAUUUAAAAUUAUGAAACCCAGGAGACUUAUUUACAAUUCAUCCUUAAAUAGUGGAAUAAAAAUCAAUAUAACUGUUUUGUCAAUGC